rnacentral:misc_RNA from 1 species
AAAUGCGAUAAGUAAUGUGCAUUGCAGAAUUCCGUGAAUCAUCGAAUCUUUGAACGCACAUUGCGCCCUCUGGUAUUCCGGGGGGCAUGCCUGUCCGAGCGUCAUUGCGAACCCCUCAAGCACGGCUUGUGUGAUGGGCCCUCCCGCGUCUUGGUCGUCAAGACGGGCCCGAAAUGCAGUGGCGGCUUCGCGGUUAUCCGAUCAGCCAGAGCGUAUGGGGACUUUCUCUCUGUCACACGCCCGCGGCGCGGACCGACGCCUGUCGACCUUCAUUCAUCGUUUUCUCGGUUGACCUCGGAUCAGGUAGGGAUACCCGCUGAACUUAAGC